GACGAACGCUGGCGGCGUGCUUAACACAUGCAAGUCGAACGCUGAAGCUCAGCUUGCUGGGUGGAUGAGUGGCGAACGGGUGAGUAACACGUGAGUAACCUGCCCUCUUCUUUGGGAUAACGCCCGGAAACGGGUGCUAAUACUGGAUAUUCACUGAUUCUCGCAUGGGGGUUGGUGGAAAGGUUUUUUCUGGUGGGGGAUGGGCUCGCGGCCUAUCAGCUUGUUGGUGGGGUGAUGGCCUACCAAGGCUUUGACGGGUAGCCGGCCUGAGAGGGUGACCGGUCACAUUGGGACUGAGAUACGGCCCAGACUCCUACGGGAGGCAGCAGUGGGGAAUAGUGCACAAUGGGCGAAAGCCUGAUGCAGCGACGCCGCGUGAGGGAUGGAGGCCUUCGGGGUGGAAACCUCUUUCGCUCAUGGUCAAGCCGCAGCGUUGGGUUGUGGUGAGGGUAGUGGGUAAAGAAGCGCCGGCUAACUACGUG
rnacentral:rRNA from 1 species